rnacentral:lncRNA from 1 species
AUCAAUUACUCCACCCUCUUUAAUUCUUUUUGUUUUUAUUUUUUUUUUCAAUUUUCUGAUUGUUAAUUAUGUAAUUCUUAAUUAGAAUUUUGUUUUUCAUGUUUCUGUGAUGCAGGGUCAGGUGAAGUUGAGUUUGAGCUCUGUGACUUUCCAAGUAUGAUUGACUGAGAAGAAUAAAUAAAUAAAGAAUAUCUAUGUUAAUUUCUUUGUCCGAACGAGUCUCCACUUGUAUGAGUUUCACUCUCAUGUCAUGUUUGUAUAUUUGCUUUUUAUGUCAUAUUAAAUAUGUAAACGCGAUCUGUGUUUUGAGUGAUUAAUUAUAGUUAUUUUGUGGUAUUAUCUUAAAAAUUCUCUCUUAUUUUAUGUCCCUCUCUAUCAUUUUGAAUCAUGAGAGAAUCUCGAACCAUUGUUCGUUAUGUUCUAAAGUCAUGGAGACAGUGCCACCAAUUCCUCAUCAUACUACAAAGACAAUUCCAAUUCCAAAUCUAAUUUUUACAAAGACAGUUCCCAAUCCUCUAAUUCAAGCUAACACAAUAUCUAUAUAAACAAGAAAUAGAAAUUGACAAAAGGUUCUAAGAGCAUCACCAAAAGGCUCUUCAAAUAAGAUUUUAUUACUUAUUUGAAGAGCCACAUCAAUAUUUAAAACUCCAAAAGACACUCUAAUUAAGAUUCUUCAAAUAAGAAUUGAUUCUCUCUCUUCAAAUUUGGAGAGUUAAUUUCUCCCUCUUCAAUUUAUAUUUUAUUACUUUUCAUUAAAGAAAGAGAGAGAAGUGCUUUAAUUGCUAUUGACUUUUCCUUUCAAAACUAAUUAUAUGAUUAAAAUAAUAUUAACUUAUUUAUAUUUGAAGAGUCUUUUGGAGAAUAUCAUAUUUUUCACCCUUCUAUUUGCCACAUAGAUAAGCAAAUAAGUAUUUGAAGAGGAAAAUUUAUAGAGGUUUUUAGAGAUGAUCUAACAGUUUUUAAUCCUAAGUAUUGACCGAGAAGAAUAAAUAAAUAAAUAAUUAUGUUAAUUUCUUUGUCCGAAUGAGUCUCUACUUGUGCGAGUCUCACUCUCAUGUCAUGUUGUAUCUUUGCUUUUUAUGUCAUAUUAAAUAUGUAAUCCUGAUCGGUGUUUUGAGUAAUGAAUUAUAAUUAUUU